UAGGCCUUAGCUUAAUUAAAGUGUUUGGGUUGCAUUCAGAAGAUGUAUAGUAAAAUUAUACAGGUCUUA